CAGUUCUUCAGUCCGAUUGUGGACUGAUCUCCUCCGUUCUCUAUUCACCUCCCCUUCUAGCGGUCAAUAUUUCUCUCUGCUCUCAUCCCUAUUGCGUCUCUCUCGUGUGAGCCAAGUCGAGGAGUAGAUGGACCCUCAAUCGACUGAGAAUGUGUAGUGGUCCUGCCGAAGGUUGGUGUAGUCGAUUCGAAAGUGAUGCCAGAGGAAAAUUGAUGGCUGGAGGAAAAUCGAGGGUUGGUUUCAGGGCUAGGGUUUCAAAACCACCACCACCACCACCACUACAUCCACCACCAUUACAUUCUGAUCUAGUUGGGAUGCAUGGGUGGGAAAGAAGAUGUUUGCUGGUGCCGUGGGAGGGGAGAAAAUCGUGAAGGGAGCGGCUGUAUAGAAGGGAAGAGAGUAAUUAAACCAUGGCGCUAAGCGAAUUGGAAGAAAUCGAAGAUCAUGUUUCCAUUCGUAUUGACAAAAAGCAUGCUAAUUUAUCGAAUACAUCCUCUGAUCAUUGAAUCUUCAGAAUCAAUGACCACUAAUGCAUGGAAAAUGAGAAAGCAUAUGAACCAGCAAUAGUUGCCAUUGGCCCUUACCAUCCCAGUAAGGCUAACUUACAAGAAAUGGCGCUGCACAAAUUAUGAUACCUGCAAAGGCUUCUAAAUCGACAGAAAGAGAAGAGCGUGGAUAGGUAUGUUAUGGCCAUAAGAGAAUUAGAAAAAAGAGCAUGCAAUUGUUAUGCAGAAACCAUUAGACUUGACUCGAUGAGUUUGUGGAAAUAAUGCUUCUUGACGGUUUCUUUAUCAUUGAGUUAUUUCGCAAGUCAAUGAACAAGGAACUGAGAGAUAGUGACGACCAUAUUUUCCAAUCAAAACAAAUUGUUCAUGAUUUACGACAUGAUUUGGUUUUACUAGAAAAUCAAAUUCCAUUCUUUAUCCUUGUUUGUUUGUUCAACAUGACUAGGCUUCCAAGCUUGGGAAUCAUUCAUAUUGGCAUGAAUUUUCUAUGACAUACCCAGCUACAUACAAAUUUCGAAGCUCAGUGUGGAAUCCCAAUUGACAACAUCAAGCAUCUGCUUGGCUUGGUACAUGAUUAUUGGUGCUUUACAUUUGUUGGGACUUGUACAAAUGUAAUGGUAAAGCAAUGGAAAUUCAUGAACUUGGCAACAAAGCUUCAAGAGUUUGGGGUUCAAUUCAAGAUGGUUGAAAAGCGACAACUUGUUUGAUAUAAAGUUCAUAAGUGGGGCAUUGAAAAGUCCCACUCUUAUCCAUUACGGAUAAUACAGAGUCUUUCCUUAGAAAUCUAGUUGCAUACGAGUUGUGUCCUUUAGAUCAUAAUCAACCAUUGUGUGUUUGUGACUAUAUCGUGUUCAUGGAUUGCCUCAUCAAUUCUUCAAGGAUGUUAAUUUGCUCCACCAUAGUGGAAUUAUUGAAAGUUGGGUAGGUGAUGGUGUAGAGGUUUACACCAUGUGGCACAAACCGAUCAAGGUCACCAUGAGAAAUGCCAAUAACUUUAGUUAUAAUGAAGUUUUCAAUAAUGUGAAUAACCAUUGUAUGCGACGCAAAUGUGUGGAUGACAAACUUAAGGCGGAAUUACUUCAAC